AACAAGUCGAUCGAUUAUUGUCGUUGAUUCGGCGAAUUUAUGGUUUGAUAGAUUUCUAUUUUGGCAACAUUGAUUGUUGGUUCGUGUGUCAGACUGACAGCUGGCUGAGCUGAGAGACAGGUUUUGGAAAGUGGGGACGUCGCGAGAGCGCCGGAGACUCCAUUGCCGAAACCCGAAUGUGGGCAAAUUAAAGCCACAAUGUAUCGGCGGCAUCAAGAGCCGAUGUCUUGAUUAAUAGAAAUAGCUUAACCGAGAUGGUAAGUCCUUGCAAUUCUUCGUGCAUAUUUUUGCACCAACUUGGUGAUAACCUCGAGGUCCUUUGUUUUUCAGCAACAUCACUGAAAUCCCAUCGCCUAAGGUCCAGUGGGUGGGAUUAGGUUUCAUCCGAGCGAUGCCCAACUAUCCCGGAUGAACCUAUGGGGUUUAUAAUUGUCUAAAGUUUUAACGUUUUUGCAAGUUUUUAACGUCUAACGUUUUGCUAGUUUAAUGUAAGAAGAA